rnacentral:SRP_RNA from 11 species
UGCUGCGAACCGGGCCAGGUCAGGAACCGAGC